rnacentral:rRNA from 1 species
UCAGGGCGAACGCUGGCGGCGUGCUUAACACAUGCAAGUCGAGCGAUGAAGCUCUUCGGAAGUGGAUUAGCGGCGGACGGGUGAGUAACACGUGGGCAACCUGCCUCAUAGAGAGGAAUAGCCUUCCGAAAGGGAGAUUAAUACCUCAUAACAUUGCAGUUUCGCAUGGAACAGCAAUUAAAGGAGCAAUCCGCUAUGAGAUGGGCCCGCGGCGCAUUAGCUAGUUGGUGAGGUAACGGCUCACCAAGGCGACGAUGCGUAGCCGACCUGAGAGGGUGAUCGGCCACAUUGGGACUGAGACACGGCCCAGACUCCUACGGGAGGCAGCAGUGGGGAAUAUUGCACAAUGGGGGAAACCCUGAUGCAGCAACGCCGCGUGAGUGAUGACGGCCUUCGGGUUGUAAAGCUCUGUCUUCAGGGACGAUAAUGACGGUACCUGAGGAGGAAGCCACGGCUAACUACGUGCCAGCCGCCGC